rnacentral:pre_miRNA from 2 species
UGGGUCGUCAAAGAGGCUGUGAAAUGUAAAUAUUGUUUUGCUUAAUAACUCAUAUCACAGCCAGCUUUGAUGAUUUUGG